rnacentral:rRNA from 1 species
UGGGGAAUAUUGCACAAUGGGGGAAACCCUGAUGCAGCGACGCCGCGUGAGUGAAGAAGUAAUUCGUUACGUAAAGCUCUAUCAGCAGGGAAGAGAGUGACGGUACCUGAGUAAGAAGCCCCGGCUAACUACGUGCCAGCAGCCGCGGUAAUACGUAGGGGGCAAGCGUUAUCCGGAUUUACUGGGUGUAAAGGGAGCGUAGACGGCGAAGAAAGUCUGGAGUGAAAGCCCGCGGCUUAACCGCGGAACUGCUUUGGAAACUUUUUGGCUGGAGUACCGGAGAGGUAAGCGGAAUUCCUAGUG